ensembl:lncRNA
UGAACAGGUUCCUAUGGGAGACAUGAGAGGAGACAGACAUCAGGCUGCUCUGAGAGGGGAGGAAGGAUAUUCUUCCCCUGCCCUUCACUUGGCUCCUUUGUGCUGCAGUUAUUUGCCUUUCUGCCAUGAAUAGGGCAGGGAUGCCGCCAAUCUCUGCAGCAGCACGGCACUAAAAUUAGCUCCCUUGGAGAGAAAAUGCCCUGAGAUUGGCUUCAUUAUGUUUGCUUGAUGUUUUUGUUAUUUCUUAACUAUUUCAGCAGGAGGAAGCAGGUCUUCAUGAGCUUCAACUGGCAAGGUUCAACAGGAGCAAGAAAAAGCCGAGGCUGGGAGGAAUUGACUGAUUUCUGUGGUGGUCCCAAGGAAGUGCACUGACUCCAUGCAUCAAAGUCCCACAACUGUCCAACCACAAUCUAAGGAAAUGAAAGAAAAACGUUUUACCAUUACCAUGCUUGCAGCACAACAUCUAAAGAUGUAAGAAAGGCAAG